rnacentral:rRNA from 1 species
AUUGAACGCUGGCGGCAGGCUUAACACAUGCAAGUCGAGCGGGGGAAGGUAGCUUGCUACCGGACCUAGCGGCGGACGGGUGAGUAAUGCUUAGGAAUCUGCCUAUUAGUGGGGGACAACAUCUCGAAAGGGAUGCUAAUACCGCAUACGUCCUACGGGAGAAAGCAGGGGACCUUCGGACCUUGCGCUAAUAGAUGAGCCUAAGUCGGAUUAGCUAGUUGGUGGGGUAAAGGCCUACCAAGGCGACGAUCUGUAGCGGGUCUGAGAGGAUGAUCCGCCACACUGGGACUGAGGCACGGCCCAGACUCCUACGGGAGGCAGGAGUGGGGAAUAUUGGACAAUGGGGGGAACCCUGAUCCAGCCAUGCCGGGUGUGUGAAGAAGGCCUUAUGGUUGUAAAGCACUUUAAGCGAGGAGGAGGCUACUUUAGUUAAUACCUAGGGAUAGUGGACGUUACUCGCAGAAUAAGCACCGGCUAACUCUGUGCCAGCCGCCGCCGUAA